AUUGAACGCUGGCGGCAUGCCUUACACAUGCAAGUCGAACGGCAGCACGGGAGCAAUCCUGGUGGCGAGUGGCGAACGGGUGAGUAAUAUAUCGGAACGUGCCCGGUCGUGGGGGAUAACGCAGCGAAAGCUGCGCUAAUACCGCAUACGAUCUGAGGAUGAAAGCGGGGGACCGUAAGGCCUCGCGCGACCGGAGCGGCCGAUGUCAGAUUAGGUAGUUGGUGGGGUAAAGGCUCACCAAGCCAACGAUCUGUAGCUGGUCUGAGAGGACGACCAGCCACACUGGGACUGAGACACGGCCCAGACUCCUACGGGAGGCAGCAGUGGGGAAUUUUGGACAAUGUGGGCAACCCUGAUCCAGCCAUUCCGCGUGAGUGAAGAAGGCCUUCGGGUUGUAAAGCUCUUUCGCAAGGGAAGAAAACUCGAUCUCUAAUAUAGGUUGAGGCUGACGGUACCUUGAUAAGAAGCACCGGCUAACUACGUGCCAGCAGCCGCCGCCG
rnacentral:rRNA from 1 species